rnacentral:rRNA from 1 species
UACGGAGGGUGCAAGCGUUAUCCGGAUUUACUGGGUUUAAAGGGUGCGUAGGUGGGUAGGAAAGUCAGUGGUGAAAUCUUCGGGCUUAACCCGGAAACUGCCAUUGAUACUAUUUAUCUUGAAUACUUUGGAGGUAAGCGGAAUAUGUCAUGUAGCGGUGAAAUGCUUAGAUAUGACAUAGAACACCAAUUGCGAAGGCAGCUCGCUAAGCCAUAACUGACGCUGAUGCACGAAAGCGUGGGGAGCAAACAGGA